rnacentral:rRNA from 1 species
UACGUAGGCAGCAAGCGUUGUUCGGAGUUACUGGGCGUAAAGAGUGCGUAGGCGGUUCUCUAAGUUCGGUAUGAAAUCUCCCGGCUCAACUGGGAGGGUGCGCCGGAAACUGGAGGGCUUGAGUAUGGGAGAGGAAAGCGGAAUUCCUGGUGUAGCGGUGAAAUGCGUAGAUAUCAGGAGGAACACCUGUGGUGUAGACGGCUUUCUGGACCAUGACUGACGCUGAGGCACGAAAGCGUGGGGAGCAAACAGG